rnacentral:rRNA from 1 species
ACGCUGGCGGCAUGCUUUACACAUGCAAGUCGGACGGCAGCACAGAGAAGCUUGCUUCUUGGGUGGCGAGUGGCGAACGGGUGAGUAACAUAUCGGAACGUACCGAGCAGUGGGGGAUAACUAAUCGAAAGAUUAGCUAAUACCGCAUAUUUUCUGAGGAAGAAAGCAGGGGACCAUUUGGCCUUGCGCUGUUUGAGCGGCCGAUAUCUGAUUAGCUAGUUGGUGGGGUAAAGGCCUACCAAGGCGACGAUCAGUAGCGGGUCUGAGAGGAUGAUCCGCCACACUGGGACUGAGACACGGCCCAGACUCCUACGGGAGGCAGCAGUGGGGAAUUUUGGACAAUGGGCGCAAGCCUGAUCCAGCCAUGCCGCGUGUCUGAAGAAGGCCUUCGGGUUGUAAAGGACUUUUGUCAGGGAAGAAAAGGGCGGGGUUAAUACCCCUGUCUGAUGACGGUACCUGAAGAAUAAGCACCGGCUAACUACGUGCCAGCAGCCGCGGUAAUACGUAGGGUGCGAGCGUUAAUCGGAAUUACUGGGCGUAAAGCGGGCGCAGACGGUUACUUGAGCAGGAUGUGAAAUCCCCGGGCUCAACCUGGGAACUGCGUUCUGAACUGGGUGACUAGAGUGUGUCAGAGGGAGGUAGAAUUCCACGUGUAGCAGUGAAAUGCGUAGAGAUGUGGAGGAAUACCGAUGGCGAAGGCAGCCUCCUGGGAUAACACUGACGUUCAUGCCCGAAAGCGUGGGUAGCAAACAGGAUUAGAUACCCUGGUAGUCCACGCCCUAAACGAUGUCGAUUAGCUGUUGGGCAGCAUGACUGCUUAGUAGCGAAGCUAACGCGUGAAAUCGACCGCCUGGGGAGUACGGUCGCAAGAUUAAAACUCAAAGGAAUUGACGGGGACCCGCACAAGC